rnacentral:snRNA from 1 species
AGACCUUUCUGGGCCUUUUGGCUAAGAUCAAGUGUAGUAUCUGUUCUUGUAUUCAUCAAAUAAAUAAAAUACCAAGUGGAGAUCCUCCUUUGUUGCUUGAACUUUUUUAUUAAUUUUCUAACAUGGGUUUCACAAUUGAUCUUCUUGGCAUGAAUCCAAAUUGGU